rnacentral:sRNA from 1 species
UUUUCCAGACUGGAUACUUGAAUCUCACUUCCCCAAAGAUCUUUAUAUUUGCGAGUGCCUUGAAUCACCGUACUUGCAAGAAAGGAUGCAUAACCUCACCUCUUUACAACGAAUGAUAGUGGAAUCUUGCCCUAAUCUGAGUUCUUCUAGACAUUCUCUCAAAACACUUCUAAGUCGGGGGUGCCCUGAUUUAUACUCCUGGAGAAUGACGCAUUCUUGGUCCUCUUUAGAAGAAUUGAAUGUUCAAAAUUGCCCUAAUCUAAGGAAAUUGUUGGAUCGCAUACCAUUUUUAAUCCCUUGCCUCAAAACACUUAAGAUUUGUAAGUGCCCUGAAUUACAAGAAUUGCAAAGGAUGGAUCGCCUUACCUCUUUACAAGUAUUGUCAAUCAGUGAAUGUCCAAAAUUGUCGGAAAGAUGUGAAAAGGAAACCGGAAUCCUGUGGCAUCACAUUGCUCACAUCCCAUCUAUUAUAAUUGAUGGGCAACAGAUUCAAUGAUGAUCAUACAAUAUAUAGGACGAUUCAUCUUGCUAAUUUCCUUCCAGAGCAGACAGUUGUUGAAUUGAAACCAAGAGAAAUUUCUAUUGGAUUAUGGACUUUUUCUGAUAGUUUUAGAGAGAACAUACGGUUUUCAACGUGCCGAUGCCAUUGUGAAGUAGAGUUCUAGAAUCGGUGGAUCGGAGGCUUUACUCUCAACAGUGUCAUCACUAUCUAUGUUACAGUUUGAUGGCAAUUCUAUGUAAAAAAGACUGCACAACAUGCAACUCUUUCACCUUCUUUUCUCAAGAAGUGAACCUUGGUCUAAUGAUCUUGAAUUCGGUUAAUUGGGUUUUCAUUUAUUGCUUGUUAUAUAUGAGGAAUGUGCUUUGUAUAGAAUCCUCAAUAUUUUUGCAUUGCUCUAACAUUUAAGAUUUUUGUUUUCCAUAGAGAAAGAAGAGAUGCCAAUGACUUGCCUGCCAACUCCCUUCCAGCCAUUUUUGAAAUGCAGUUAGCUGUGAAUGGAGUCAACCAACACUUGCUAAGUAGUGGUUCGAGUGAUUGGGAAAACUGCCUGGAGAGCUGAGCUGGUUGGAAAACCCUUUUGCUUCUUUCAAAAUCAAUGUCAAAGUUCCAUCUUGGCCAUUCUUGGAGGUCUUUGAGCAGUGGCUUGAAUUCUAGUCUUUAGGCCUUUACUUAAUUAACCCAAACCGUUAAAGGGACCUAAACACAAAGGUUCUUUCAUAAUGUAGAUAUGGAGAAGACUUUUGGGAUACUACUAUGGGAUUUAAUAUUUGCCACGUUUGGGUGCUGCAACUACUGUAACCUCCUGCAUCAUAGUAAAAUCUCUUUCACCUUCGACCGUGGAUGUAGGUUAUUAAGCCGAACCACGUAAUUUUUCGUGUGUUUUAUUAUGUUAGAUUGUUUGCUUGUUAUUUAUCAUAAAAUUUGGUUCCACAUCUAUA